UACGUAGGGUGCGAGCGUUGUCCGGAAUUAUUGGGCGUAAAGAGCUCGUAGGCGGCCUGUCGCGUCGGAUGUGAAAGCCCGGGGCUUAACCCCGGGUCUGCAUUCGAUACGGGCAGGCUAGAGUGUGGUAGGGGAGACUGGAAUUCCUGGUGUAGCGGUGAAAUGCGCAGAUAUCAGGAGGAACACCGGUGGCGAAGGCGGGACUCUGGGCCGAUACUGACGCUGAGGAGCGAAAGCGUGGGGAGCAAACAGG
rnacentral:rRNA from 1 species